rnacentral:miRNA from 1 species
ACCGUUACGCGCAUAUAAUUUG